rnacentral:rRNA from 1 species
AGAGUUCGAUCCUGGCUCAGGAUUAACGCUGGCGGCAUGCCUAAUACAUGCAAGUCGAGCGAGGAAAGUAGCAAUACUUUUCGAGCGGCGAACGGGUGAGUAACACGUUGGGAAUCUACCCCUGAGACCGGAAUACCUGGAAGAAAUUUCAGCUAAUGCCGGAUACGUGGUCAACACAGAAGUGAUGAUCAUAAAAGGCGGCCUUAAAGCCGCGCUGAGGGAUGAACCUGCGGCGCAUUAGCUAGUUGGUGAGAUAAAAGCCCACCAAGGCGAGGAUGCGUAGCCGACCUGAGAGGGUGAACGGCCACACUGGAACUGAGACACGGUCCAGACUCCUACGGGAGGCAGCAGUGGGGAAUAUUGGGCAAUGGGCGCAAGCCUGACCCAGCAACGCCGCGUGAAGGAAGAAGGCUUUCGGGUUGUAAACUUCUUUUGUCAGGGACGAGUAGAAGACGGUACCUGACGAAUAAGCCACGGCUAACUACGUGCCAGCAGCCGCGGUAAUACGUAGGUGGCAAGCGUUAUCCGGAAUUACUGGGCGUAAAGAGUGAGCAGGCGGUUAGAUAAGUCUAUGGUUAAAUGCAACAGCUCAACUGUUGUUCGCUAUAGAAACUAUUUAACUAGAGUGCGGGAGAGGUAAGUGGAACUCCAUAUGUAGCGGUGGAAUGCUUAGAUAUAUGGAAGAACACCAGAGGCGAAGGCGGCUUACCAGUCCGUAACUGACGCUCAGUCACGAAAGCGUGGGGAGCAAAUAGGAUUAGAUAUCCUAGUAGUCCACGCCGUAAACGAUGAGAACCUGAUGCAGGAGAUAUUCUGUGUCGAAGCUAACGCGUUAAGUUCUCCGCCUGGGUACUACGUUCGCAAGAAUAAAACUUAAAGGAAUUGACGGGCGCCCGCACAAGCAGUGGAGCAUGGGGUUUAAUUCGUCGAUACACGAAAAACCUUACCAGGGCUUGACAUCCCGCUAAAAGCCUUAGAAAUAAGGAAAUAGUUAUAGCGGUGACAGGUGGUGCAUGGUUGUCGUCAGCUUCGACACAG